rnacentral:rRNA from 1 species
GCAAUCUCGGGCUUGAUUAGUACUUGGAUGGGUGACCGCUUGGGAAUACCAAGUGUGAUAAGCA